rnacentral:rRNA from 1 species
UACGAAGGGUGCAAGCGUUAAUCGGAAUUACUGGGCGUAAAGGGUGCGUAGGCGGUUCGUUAAGUCUGUCGUGAAAUCCCCGGGCUCAACCUGGGAAUGGCAAUGGAUACUGGCGGGCUAGAGUGUGUCAGAGGGGGGUAGAAUUCCACGUGUAGCAGUGAAAUGCGUAGAGAUGUGGAGGAAUACCGAUGGCGAAGGCAGCCCCCUGGGAUAACACUGACGCUCAUGCACGAAAGCGUGGGGAGCAAACAGG